AGAGUUUGAUCAUGGCUCAGAUUGAACGCUGGCGGCAGGCCUAACACAUGCAAGUCGAGCGGCAGCGACUUAACUGAACCUUCGGGGAGCGUUAAGGGCGGCGAGCGGCGGACGGGUGAGUAAUGCCUGGGAAUAUGCCCUGAUGUGGGGGAUAACUAUUGGAAACGAUAGCUAAUACCGCAUAAUCUCUUCGGAGCAAAGAGGGGGACCUUCGGGCCUCUCGCGUCAGGAUUAGCCCAGGUGGGAUUAGCUUGUUGGUGAGGUAAUGGCUCACCAAGGCAACGAUCCCUAGCUGGUCUGAGAGGAUGAUCAGCCACACUGGAACUGAGACACGGUCCAGACUCCUACGGGAGGCAGCAGUGGGGAAUAUUGCACAAUGGGGGAAACCCUGAUGCAGCCAUGCCGCGUGUAUGAAGAAGGCCUUCGGGUUGUAAAGUACUUUCAGUAGGGAGGAAGACAGUGUCGUUAAUAGCGGCAUUGUUUGACGUUACCUACAGAAGAAGCACCGGCUAACUCCGUGCCAGCAGCCGCGGUAAU
rnacentral:rRNA from 1 species